rnacentral:rRNA from 1 species
GACGUAGGGCGCGAGCGUUGUCCGGAUUUAUUGGGCGUAAAGAGCUCGUAGGCGGCUUGUCGCGUCGACCGUGAAAACUUGGGGCUCAACCCCAAGCCUGCGGUCGAUACGGGCAGGCUCGAGUUCGGUAGGGGAGACUGGAAUUCCUGGUGUAGCGGUGAAAUGCGCAGAUAUCAGGAGGAACACCAGUGGCGAAGGCGGCUCACUGGCCCGAUACUGACGCUGAGGUGCGAAAGCGUGGGGAGCAAACAGG